CCAUCUGGAUUCUCCGAAAUGAACAUUUCAUACCGUCACGGGUUUUAUUAGCUGAACUACCGGGACUUUAACCGGAACAAGGUUCUAUGGUCAGAACCCAAACCUUCGCUGUUGUUGGAGGAUGCGUGAUGUUCCAGGACCGUUUUAUCGCCAAAGGUUCUCGGAAAUCAUCUUCAUGGACUCCAUAUCGCACCGGGAAAUAUUCAACGACGGGAGAAAUCUCCGUGCUGUAUAAAACAUUUAAAAAUGUGUGUGUUUGUUUUUUAAAUAAGGAUUUUUAAUAAGACAUUUUUCAUAAACUUUUAGAUUAGAAUAUAUAUGUUCUGUUUAGAGCUUUAAAAUACAGUAGAAUGAAUGCUACCCCUAAAAUGAAUGCUGAGUAUAUACAAUAUAUUAAUAAAGUGUGAUCAAUAUGUGUAAUUAUUACUAAGAAACAGAAUCUAAUAAUCCGUAUUAGUUAACAAGCAUAAUCAAUAUGUUUAAUCAAUAUUUAAGCUACCAACGUGGCAGCGGCAGCACAAUGGUCAAGCUGUUGGAAUACUGAUCGGAAGAUCGUGAGUUCAAAUCCCAGCAAAAAAGGAUAAAACCUUUCUAAAACGCACCUAACUCCGCGUGCGCAACAAAUCUACGAUAUCCUAUAGACGUGAAUAAUUCAUGGUGGGGAAGGAGAUUGGUUUGUUUUUGAGAAGAAAGGGUAAAACCCCGCCUCACUGUCUCAUAUAUUUUUGCAUGAAAUGAUACUUUCUGCAGACUGGCUUACUGUAUUGUUUAAAUAAAGUUCCAUUUCUUUUGACAUCCAUAUCCGCUGGUCUUAUGGCUGGGGUUUUUGGACUUUGGUUGGAGGGAUUUUUUCACAACAAGUAUUGAAAGUGUUUCUAUGACAUAUAAUAGACCACAUUUAUACAUUUAUUUGCUAUAUGACUACAUCUUGCCCGGGCAAUAACAUAUUGUUCCCUUAAUAUAAAUGAAGGACCUCAUGAGACUCACUUCAAGCAAGAGGAAACGGGCCUGGCCGUGAAAUGACGUUUCGCUUGUUACCCCUACCUUCAACGCUUCCUCACGAUGCACAAGCCGGUUGGACCGCUUUCGUUUCGAUGAAGUAAUCGCGUUACAUUACUUUCGAGUGCGACAGCCCGUGACAAAUAUGUGAUCUCACGAGAAUGCGUGAAGAUGUAUUUCAC
ensembl:lncRNA